UGCUUCUCCUAACGUCCUACCCUGGAGUGAGUCAAGUGUGAACACAAAUGCUAAGCAUUUGACUCCACUUCAGUGAUUUCUAGAUCUGUAGAUGUUGAUGCCUGGUGUCUCUGAGAAUUCCACACCAGGAUGAGACAGCCUUCUCUUUCUUUAAAUCUUCACAUUGGAGAGUAUUCAGGAACUGACAGCAUUUAAGAUAAUUUCCUAAGAAGCUGAAAAAGAAGGCUCACUCACCAGGUUACAUGUUCAUGUAAAGAUAUGAGACAGGGCAUGGUGGAGCACUAACCAAGAGAAUUAUUAGACAUUUCUGAAGUGUAAAAUCACGUGACUCAAGAUAGAGUAAGUCAAUAUGAAAAGAACACUUGGAGAAGCCAACAGAAAUACAUCAGAACUCUACUGAGAA